rnacentral:sRNA from 1 species
GCAAUUUAAAUAUCAAAACAUUUGUUUUGUGAAAUACAUUCGUAUAACAAUUGAUACUUAUAUGCAAGCUGAAAUUACAGGAAUACAUUUUCAUUUAUUAUGCCGAUUUAUUAAAAAUGUUCAUUUUGAUAUCAAAAUGAUGAAAGAAUAUUAUAGAAUUAGAAUUUAGUAAACUGAACUUCUGAAACUGUAGUAUUUUAUUCUUUACAAUAAUGUUUCACAAAAAUGCAGAAGUUACAUUUGUACAUCACUUGAUUACAGUAUUUUACAAAAUCAAGUAGUAUGUGUGUCACUUUGCUUACCUGAGAAGCAAUAGCCAUUGAGAAAUCAGCUUCAUAGAAUAAUACACAAAAUAUCUGGACAAUGUGUUGUAAAAAAGGUAUUCAAUAAAGAGAUUUUGAUGUUUUCGUAAUAUAUUCUCAAGUUUAACAGUAACAGGAUGAUUUCAAAGUCAUUUUAUAUGUGGAGAAUUGCAGACCUCUAAUUGAUCCUCAGAUUGCAUUUCAUAUAUUUUGUUGACAAAUGUUUAAAACUUAGAAAGAAUGUAUUUACUUACUGUACUGUAUACCAAACAUAUUUUACAAAGAUCAAACAUAUAUGCAAAUGUUGAGAAUUACAAUACAAUGUAAAAGCCCAGUAAUUUAUGGAUAACUAUAUAUUGAUAUUCAAUAAUGUACAAAUUAUGUGUCCUUUACAAUUGCUCCAUGUUGUACUGUCAAAUCACAGGUCUCUAGUAUUGAAGACAUUUGAACUUUU